GAAGAAAAAAUAAUCAAGUACGAGUCCGAUAAAAAAUGUUAGUCAGAAUCAACGGUGAUAAUAUGCGAUCUGACUAGCAUUUUUUAUCAGACUCGUACUUGCUUAUUUUUUAUCC